UCGACGAGUUCUCGUUGAUGAUCGGUGCUUGCACCGAGAUUCACAUGGAACGAGUGGCGGACGGGUGAGUAACACGUGGGUAACCUGCCCUUAAGUGGGGGAUAACAUUUGGAAACAGAUGCUAAUACCGCAUAGAUCCAAGAACCGCAUGGUUCUUGGCUGAAAGAUGGCGUAAGCUAUCGCUUUUGGAUGGACCCGCGGCGUAUUAGCUAGUUGGUGAGGUAAUGGCUCACCAAGGCGAUGAUACGUAGCCGAACUGAGAGGUUGAUCGGCCACAUUGGGACUGAGACACGGCCCAAACUCCUACGGGAGGCAGCAGUAGGGAAUCUUCCACAAUGGACGCAAGUCUGAUGGAGCAACGCCGCGUGAGUGAAGAAGGCUUUCGGGUCGUAAAACUCUGUUGUUGGAGAAGAAUGGUCGGCAGAGUAACUGUUGUCGGCGUGACGGUAUCCAACCAGAAAGCCACGGCUAACUACGUGCCAGCAGCCGCGGUAAUACGUAGGUGGCAAGCGUUAUCCGGAUUUAUUGGGCGUAAAGCGAGCGCAGGCGGUUUUUUAAGUCUGAUGUGAAAGCCCUCGGCUUAACCGAGGAAGCGCAUCGGAAACUGGGAAACUUGAGUGCAGAAGAGGACAGUGGAACUCCAUGUGUAGCGGUGAAAUGCGUAGAUAUAUGGAAGAACACCAGUGGCGAAGGCGGCUGUCUGGUCUGUAACUGACGCUGAGGCUCGAAAGCAUGGGUAGCGAACAGGAUUAGAUACCCUGGUAGUCCAUGCCGUAAACGAU
rnacentral:rRNA from 1 species